rnacentral:rRNA from 1 species
AUCAUGGCUCAGGAUGAACGCUAGCUACAGGCUUAACACAUGCAAGUCGAGGGGAAACGAUAGAGAAAGCUUGCUUUUCUAGGCGUCGACCGGCGCACGGGUGAGUAACGCGUAUCCAACCUGCCCAUCACUUGGGGAUAACCUUGCGAAAGUAAGACUAAUACCCAAUGACGUCUCUAGAAGACAUCUGAAAGAGAUUAAAGAUUUAUCGGUGAUGGAUGGGGAUGCGUCUGAUUAGCUUGUUGGCGGGGUAACGGCCCACCAAGGCGACGAUCAGUAGGGGUUCUGAGAGGAAGGUCCCCCACAUUGGAACUGAGACACGGUCCAAACUCCUACGGGAGGCAGCAGUGAGGAAUAUUGGUCAAUGGACGAGAGUCUGAACCAGCCAAGUAGCGUGCAGGAUGACGGCCCUAUGGGUUGUAAACUGCUUUUAUAAGGGAAUAAAGUGAGUCUCGUGAGACUUUUUGCAUGUACCUUAUGAAUAAGGACCGGCUAAUUCCGUG